rfam:Spirochaetes bacterium GWF1_49_6 gwf1_scaffold_5141, whole genome shotgun sequence.
GCCCAGGUGGUGGAAUUGGUAGACACGCUAGCUUGAGGGGCUAGUGGGAGCAAUCCUGUGCAAGUUCAAGUCUUGUCCUGGGCA